UACAGAGGUCCCAAGCGUUGUUCGGAUUCACUGGGCGUAAAGGGUGCGUAGGCGGUCGGGUAAGUCUGACGUGAAAGCCCCGGGCUCAACCUGGGAAUGGCGAUGGAUACUGGCGGGCUAGAGUGCGGUAGAGGGUGGUGGAAUUCCCGGUGUAGCAGUGAAAUGCGUAGAGAUCGGGAGGAACAUCAGUUGCGAAGGCGGCCACCUGGACCAGCACUGACACUGAGGCACGAAAGCGUGGGGAGCAAACAGG
rnacentral:rRNA from 1 species